rnacentral:rRNA from 1 species
UACGUAGGUGGCAAGCGUUGUCCGGAUUCAUUGGGCGUAAAGGGCUCGUAGGCGGUCUGUCACGUCGGGAGUGAAAACUCGGGGCUCAACCCCGAGCCUGCUUCCGAUACGGGCAGACUAGAGGUAUGCAGGGGAGAAUGGAAUUCCUGGUGUAGCGGUGAAAUGCGCAGAUAUCAGGAGGAACACCGGUGGCGAAGGCGGUUCUCUGGGCAUUACCUGACGCUGAGGAGCGAAAGUGUGGGGAGCGAACAGG